rnacentral:rRNA from 1 species
GACGAACGCUGGCGGCGUGCUUAACACAUGCAAGUCGAACGCUGAAGCUCAGCUUUUGUUGGGUGGAUGAGUGGCGAACGGGUGAGUAACACGUGAGUAACCUGCCCCCUUCUUUGGGAUAACGCCCGGAAACGGGUGCUAAUACUGGAUAUUCACUGGUCUUCGCAUGGGGGUUGGUGGAAAGGGUUUUUCUGGUGGGGGAUGGGCUCGCGGCCUAUCAGCUUGUUGGUGGGGUGAUGGCCUACCAAGGCGUUGACGGGUAGCCGGCCUGAGAGGGUGACCGGUCACAUUGGGACUGAGAGACGGCCCAGACUACUACGGGAGGCAGCAGUGGGGAAUAUUGCACAAUGGGCGCAAGCCUGAUGCAGCGACGCCGCGUGAGGGAUGGAGGCCUUCGGGUUGUGAACCUCUUUCGCUCAUGGUCAAGCCGCAACAAUGGUUGUGGUGAGGGUAGUGGGUAAAGAAGCGCCGGCUAACUACGUG